rnacentral:rRNA from 1 species
CCCUAAAUAGCCGCAAUAUUUGUGCUAAGGUAGCAUAAUCAAUAGUCUAUUAAUUAUAGAAUAGAAUGAAAGGCCAAACGCGUUCAAAAUUGUAUCAUCUUCUCCCGUACAAUCUCCACCUAGAGUAAAAAUGCUCUACCCCCUCAGAAAGACGACAAGACCCUAAUAAACUUAACUUCUGUUAAACUGGGGCAGUACAACAACAACAUUUUAACUCCCCCCACACAAUAGACCUCUUCAACAAUUCGUGCAAAGUUACUAUAGGGAUAACAGCAUAAUUUUAAUUUAAAGCCCUCAUUCAAAUUAAAGUUUAUGACCUCGAUGUUGAAUUAAAACAACUAUUUUAAGCAAAAUUUUAAAAAGUAAGUCUGUUCGACUUUCAAAAUUUUACAUGAUUUGAGUUCAGACCGGCUUCAGCCAGGUCGGAUUCUAUCUUCUCUCAGUAGUCUACAGUACGAAAGGACCCAAACUACCUUUAUCUUAUUAGCAAACAAAUGCCUUAAAUUUAGAAUUUAACUACCCCCUCUCUAUCACCCCCAUCCUAAACUCUCUCAUCGCUCUAAUCAGCAUUUUAGUAAGCGUAGCAUUUUACACCAUACUAGAGCGAAAAAUCCUAAGCUAUAUUCAAAUUCGUAAAGGCCCAAACAAAGUAGGAAUAAUGGGUAUUCUCCAACCCUUUAGCGACGCCAUUAAGCUUUUCAACAAAUCCCCCCUGACUCCUACCGCCUCAAACCACCUACCCUUCAUACUUAUCCCCUUCUUAACCUUUAUCCUAAGCCUCAUACUAUGACCCAUUCUCUCCCUAAGAAAAUUUAACCUAAUAGACUCUUAUCUCAACUCCCUAAUUUUUGUCCUCAUCUCCAGACUAUCCGUUUACGCUAUUAUAAUAACAGGAUGA